rfam:Ovis aries breed Texel chromosome 9, whole genome shotgun sequence.
UGGCUCAGAUGGUAAAGUGUCUGCCUGCAAUGCAGGAGACCUGGGUUCAAUCCCUG